GGGCGCAUAGUCUAGUGGCAAAACUCCUCGUUUACACCGAGGUAUCCGCGGUUCGAUCCCGCGUGCGCCCA
rnacentral:tRNA from 1 species